rnacentral:rRNA from 1 species
GACGAACGCUGGCGGCGUGCUUAACACAUGCAAGUCGAGCGGUAAGGCCCUUUCGGGGGUACGACGAGCGGCGAACGGGUGAGUAACACGUGGGUGACCUGCCCUCAGCUCUGGGAUAAGCCUGGGAAACCGGGUCUAAUACCGGAUAUGACUCCAUGACGCAUGUUGUGGGGUGGAAAGCCUUGUGCGGCUGAGGAUGGGCCCGCGGCCUAUCAGCUUGUUGGUGGGGGAUGGCCUACCAAGGCGACGACGGGUAGCCGGCCUGAGAGGGCGACCGGCCACACUGGGACUGAGACACGGCCCAGACUCCUACGGGAGGGCAGCAGUGGGGAAUUGUUCGCAAUGGGCGCAAGCCUGACGACGCAACGCCGCGUGGAGGAUGAAGGUCUUCGGAUUGUAAACUCCUGUUGCUCGGGACAAAAGCUUCGACCUAACACGUCGAAGUCUGACGGUACCGGGUGAGGAAGCCCCGGCUAACUCUGUGCCAGCCGCCGCCGUAAU